GUACACGCUGUGACUAGCAUAUCAAUAAGCGGAGGAAAAGAAACUAACAAGGAUUCCCCUAGUAACGGCGAGUGAAGCGGGAAGAGCUCAAAUUUGAAAUCUUAAAGGGUUUCCCUUUACGAAUUGUAGUUUAAAGAAGUGUUUUCUGUUGAGGUUUUGGUAAAAGUUCUUUGGAAUAGGACAUCAUAGAGGGUGAGAAUCCCGUAUUUGACCUUUACUUUCAACUUUGUGAUACACUUUCAAAGAGUCGGAUUGUUUGGGAAUGCAGUCCAAAAUGGGUGGUAGAUUUCAUCUAAAGCUAAAUAUUGGCGAGAGACCGAUAGCGAACAAGUACCGUGAGGGAAAGAUGAAAAGAACUUUGAAAAGAGAGUUAAACAGUACGUGAAAUUGUCAAAAGGGAAGCGUUUGACACCAGUGUUGUUUUUCUGAAAAUCAAUUAAAGAACUGUUUAUGCUAAGUUGUUUAGACUUUAUCAGCUAACUGUUUAGUUUUGAGCUUUUCUUUAAUGCACUUUUCAGUUAACAAGUCAACAUCAAUUUCUUUUGCUGUAAAAAAGCUUGAGGAAGGUGGCUUGAGAUUCGUCUUAAGUGUUUAUAGCCUCUUGCCUAUGCAGUCGGAGAGAUUGAGGUCUGCAGCGUAGAUCCUUCGGGGCUAAAUGCAUUUGUGCUAAGUUAUAGCAUUUUAUAGACAACUUGUUGACUAUGAUUUGUCUUGUAGCUUACUCGCUUAUGUUAUUUUACCUACGCUUAGGAUGUUGAAGAUGUAGCACAUCAU
rnacentral:rRNA from 1 species